rnacentral:rRNA from 1 species
CCUACGGGUGGCAGCAGUGAGGAAUAUUGGUCAAUGGACGAGAGUCUGAACCAGCCAAGUAGCGUGAAGGAUGACUGCCCUAUGGGUUGUAAACUUCUUUUAUAAAGGAAUAAAACGAGGCACGUGUGCCUUUUUGCAUGUACUUUAUGAAUAAGGAUCGGCUAACUCCGUGCCAGCAGCCGCGGUAAUACGGAGGAUCCGAGCGUUAUCCGGAUUUAUUGGGUUUAAAGGGAGCGUAGAUGGGUUGUUAAGUCAGUUGUGAAAGUUUGCGGAUCAACCGUAAAAUUGCAAUUGAUACUGGCAGUCGUGAGUACAGUUGAGGUAGGCGGAAUUCGUGGUGUAGCGGUGAAAUGCUUAGAUAUCACGAAGAACCCCGAUUGCGAAGGCAGCUUACUAAACUGUGACUGACAUUGAUGCUCGAAAGUGUGGGUAUCAAACAGGAUUAGAUACCCCGGUAGUC